rnacentral:rRNA from 1 species
CACACCACGGGAGUUGGCAAUGCCCAAAGACCCCGCCUUGAGCGCAAAUAUUUGCGAGCAGAGCGGGGUCAAAGGCAGGGUCAAUGACUAGGGUG